rnacentral:lncRNA from 1 species
AACAAGGAAUGGAGGGAAAAGAGAAGCCAGCAAUCGACCCAGAUGAGUGCCAAUGGUGCUUUGCUCAUCUGUCACCAGGCGAGCACAGCCCAGCAAGCUCACCCAGGAACCAUCAGCUGCUGUGCACCUUGAUAAAUGUUUGCAUUCGAGCCUGCUCCACGUGUUUCCUCCUGACUUCUGGUCUGUGUCUUUGGGUGAGUUUGCAUGAAAAGAGGGGUGUGUAGGAAUGGAAGAGGGUUCAUGAUGACUUCCGGUAAGCACAUGGUUCCACCGCUGCCCAAUGUGGUGCACUCUGGUGUCAGGCUCAUUUCUGACACUCUUAGUCCCAGUGCAUCCAGCCUUCUGCCACGGAGGAAAGAGGAAAUGAAGAUCACCCUGGCGAUGCUUCUUCUAGGACUGCAAUUCCUAGCAGCGUGAGGCAGAGUCCCUUGGCCU